GAUGAACGCUAGCUACAGGCUUAACACAUGCAAGUCGCGGGGCAGCAUGGGGGUUGCUUGCAAUCCCCGAUGGCGACCGGCGCACGGGUGAGUAACGCGUAUCCAACCUGCCCUUCACCACGGGAUAACCCGGCGAAAGUCGGACUAAUACCGUAUGUUGUCCAUUGACGGCAUCCGAUUUGGACGAAAGGCUUGGCGGUGAGGGAUGGGGAUGCGUCCGAUUAGCCAGACGGCGGGGUAACGGCCCACCGUGGCUACGAUCGGUAGGGGUUCUGAGAGGAAGGUCCCCCACACUGGGACUGAGACACGGUCCAGACUCCUACGGGAGGCAGCAGUGAGGAAUAUUGGUCAAUGGGCGUAAGCCUGAACCAGCCAAGUAGCGUGCAGGAUGACGGCCCUAUGGGUUGUAAACUGCUUUUAUGCGGGGAUAAAGUGGCCCACGUGUGGGCUUUUGCAGGUACCGCAUGAAUAAGGACCGGCUAAUUCCGUG
rnacentral:rRNA from 1 species